rnacentral:rRNA from 1 species
UCGAGCGGACAGAUGGGAGCUUGCUCCCUGAUAUUAGCGGCGGACGGGUGAGUAACACGUGGGUAACCUGCCUGUAAGACUGGGAUAACUCCGGGAAACCGGGGCUAAUACCGGAUGGUUGUCUGAACCGCAUGGUUCAGACAUAAAAGGUGGCUUCGGCUACCACUUACAGAUGGACCCGCGGCGCAUUAGCUAGUUGGUGAGGUAACGGCUCACCAAGGCGACGAUGCGUAGCCGACCUGAGAGGGUGAUCGGCCACACUGGGACUGAGACACGGCCCAGACUCCUACGGGAGGCAGCAGUAGGGAAUCUUCCGCAAUGGACGAAAGUCUGACGGAGCAACGCCGCGUGAGUGAUGAAGGUUUUCGGAUCGUAAAGCUCUGUUGUUAGGGAAGAACAAGUGCCGUUCAAAUAGGGCGGCACCUUGACGGUACCUAACCAGAAAGCCACGGCUAACUACGUGCCAGCAGCCGCGGUAAUACGUAGGUGGCAAGCGUUGUCCGGAAUUAUUGGGCGUAAAGGGCUCGCAGGCGGUUUCUUAAGUCUGAUGUGAAAGCCCCCGGCUCAACCGGGGAGGGUCAUUGGAAACUGGGGAACUUGAGUGCAGAAGAGGAGAGUGGAAUUCCACGUGUAGCGGUGAAAUGCGUAGAGAUGUGGAGGAACACCAGUGGCGAAGGCGACUCUCUGGUCUGUAACUGACGCUGAGGAGCGAAAGCGUGGGGAGCGAACAGGAUUAGAUACCCUGGUAGUCCACGCCGUAAACGAUGAGUGCUAAGUGUUUCGGGGGUUUCCGCCCCUUAGUGCUGCAGCUAACGCAUUAAGCACU